rnacentral:misc_RNA from 1 species
GAUGAAGAACGUAGCGAAAUGCGAUAAGUAAUGUGAAUUGCAGAAUUCAGUGAAUCAUCGAAUCUUUGAACGCACAUUGCGCCCCCUGGUAUUCCGGGGGGCAUGCCUGUCCGAACGUCAUUACAACCCUCAAGCUCAGCUUGGUGUUGGGCCCCGCCGCCCCGGCGGGCCCUAAAGUCAGUGGCGGUGCCGUCCGGCUCCGAGCGUAGUAAUUCUUCUCGCUCUGGAGGUCCGGUCGUGUGCUCGCCAGCAACCCCCAAUUUUUUUCAGGUUGACCUCGGAUCAGGUAGGGAUACCCGCUGAACUUAAGCAUAUCAAUAAGCGGAGGA